rnacentral:rRNA from 1 species
UCGAGAAUCUUUCGCAAUGGGCGAAAGCCUGACGAAGCGACGCCGCGUGAGCGAAGAAGGCUCUCGGGUUGUAAAGCUCUUUCGCUAGGGAACAAGAAAGAUAGGCUAAUAUCCUAUUGAUUUGAGGGUACCUGGUAAAGAAGCACCGGCUAACUCCGUGCCAGCAGCUGCGGUAAUACGGAGGGUGCAAGCAUUGAUCGGAUUUAUUGGGCGUAAAGGGCGCGUAGGUGGCGAUGAAAGUCAGGUGUGAAAUUCCGGGACUCAAUUCCGGAGCUGCACUUGAAACUUCAUUGCUUGAGGACAGGCGGAGAAAGCGGAAUUCCACGUGUAGCGGUGAAAUGCGUAGAUAUGUGGAAGAACACCGGUGGCGAAGGCGGCUUUCUAGCUUGUUCCUGACACUGAGGCGCGAAAGCGUGGGGAGCAAACAGGAUUAGAUACCCCCGUAGUCC